GAUGAACGCUGGCGGCGUACCUAAUACAUGCAAGUCGAGCGAACGGACGAGAAGCUUGCUUCUCUGAUGUUAGCGGCGGACGGGUGAGUAACACGUGGAUAACCUACCUAUAAGACUGGGAUAACUUCGGGAAACCGGAGCUAAUACCGGAUAAUAUUUUGAACCGCAUGGUUCAAAAGUGACAGGCGGUCUUGCUGUCACUUAUAGAUGGAUCCGCGCUGCAUUAGCUAGUUGGUAAGGUAACGGCUUACCAAGGCAACGAUGCAUAGCCGACCUGAGAGGGUGAUCGGCCACACUGGAACUGAGCCACGGUCCAGAGGCCUACGGGAGGCAGCAGUAGGGAAUCUUCCGCGAUGGGCGAAAGCCUGACGGAGCAACGCCGCGUGAGUGAUGAAGGUCUUCGGAUCGUGAAACUGUGUUAUUAGGGAAGAACAUAUGUGUAAGUAACUGAGCACAUCUUGACGGUACCUAAGCAGAAAGCCACGGCUAACUACGUG
rnacentral:rRNA from 1 species